rfam:Ipomoea nil DNA, scaffold: scaffold1101, cultivar: Tokyo-kokei standard.
GGCCUAAUAGCUCAGUUGGUUAGAGUGUCGUGCUAAUAACGCGAAGGUUACAGGUUUGAGACUUGUAUUGGCCA